rnacentral:rRNA from 1 species
GACAGAGGAUGCAAGCGUUGUCCGGAAUUAUUGGGCGUAAAGAGCUCGUAGGCGGCCUGUUACGUCCGCUGUGAAAGCCCGGGGCUUAACCCCGGGUCUGCAGUGGGUACGGGCGGGCUAGAGUGCGGUAGGGGAGACUGGAAUUCCUGGUGUAGCGGUGAAAUGCGCAGAUAUCAGGAGGAACACCGGUGGCGAAGGCGGGUCUCUGGGCCGUAACUGACGCUGAGGAGCGAAAGCAUGGGUAGCGAACAGG